rnacentral:rRNA from 1 species
UACGGAGGAUGCGAGCGUUAUCCGGAUUUAUUGGGUUUAAAGGGUGCGUAGGCGGACGCUUAAGUCAGCGGUAAAAUUGCGGGGCUCAACCUCGUCGAGCCGUUGAAACUGGGUGCCUUGAGUGGGCGAGAAGUACGCGGAAUGCGUGGUGUAGCGGUGAAAUGCAUAGAUGUCACGCAGAACUCCGAUUGCGAAGGCAGCGUACCGGCGCCCUACUGACGCUGAAGCACGAAGGCGUGGGUAUCGAACAGG